ensembl:lincRNA
CCGUCUGAGCUGCCCCAGGCGGUGGAAGUCGAAGGCGGUGAUGUUGGUGAUGAAGUUGCCGCCUAG